GCCGCGGUGAUGGAAUGGUAGACAUAGGGGACUUAAAAUCCCCGGGCUUCGGCCGUGCGGGUUCAAUUCCCGCCCGCGGUACCA
rnacentral:tRNA from 1 species